rnacentral:antisense_RNA from 1 species
AGCCCUCAGCGUACAUGCCAGCUAAUUACAGAUGCAGGAGCAAACCCCUGGCCCAUACAUCAAGACGGGGUGUCUCUCUGUCAUCCAGGUUGGAGUGCAGUGAUGUGUUCCUAGCUCACUGCAGCCUCAAACUCCUGGUCUGAAGGGAUCCUCCCACCUCAGUCUCCCAAGCAGCCGGGACUACAGAUAAUGAAGAAAUUAACUGAGAAAGAAGAUAUAAGACCUGUCAAAUUAUUUUUUUUUGUUUUGUUUGAGACAGAGUCUCACUCUGUCACCCAGGCUGGAGUGUAGUGGCGCAAUCUCGACUCACUGCAACCUCCACCUCCUGGGUUCAAGCGAUUCUCCUGCCUCAGCCUCCUGAAUAGCUGGGCUUACAGGCAUGCGCCACCAUGCCCAGCUAAUUUUUGUAUAAAGUAGAGAUGCAGUUUUGCCACAUUGGCCAGGCUGGUCUCGAACCCCUGACCUCAGGUGAUCUACCCACCUUGGCCUCCCAAAGUGCUGGGAUUACAGACGUGAGCCACCACGCCCAGCCUGACCUGUCAAAUUCUUGUCAAACUCAACUUCAUGUAACGUUGAACUGUAACUAUCAAGUUAGAAUAUUUUUUCAUUUGUUUGCAUAUAUAUAGGCUUCAUCAGUCUUAAUUUAGUGAUCUCAGUUAAGAA